GUGCUCACUUCAGCGGCACACAGACCGAACUGGGAGUGGUACAGAGAAGAUUAGCAUGGCCCUGCUGCACAAGGAUGACACACACAUUGGUGAAGCAUUCCGUAUGUUG
rnacentral:snRNA from 1 species